rnacentral:lncRNA from 1 species
UUUUGUUUACCUCUGCUGUCCAUUUGGUCAGUAUGUUGGAAAUUCCAAAAUGGUCAUUUCUAGAUCUAUGCUGAUGGUUGAGCAAUGCAUAUUGCCAAGGUAUAUUGCAGUAUUUCAAAACAUUAACGAAUCAGCAAUGUCUGUAUGUUUUGUGUUCCAAAUUUAUUUGUUUUCAAUGUAGCUUUGUGCUUCUGCUGAUUAACUUGUAACCACAAUUCUAGACUAUUUUGUAUUGUAUGAUACUAUAUGCAUAUGCCAUCAAAUCUUUCUUUGGGAGCUUUUAUCUUGGACAAAACUUAAGGUGGAUGAUUCUGGGAAAAGGGGAUGAAGCAUUCAUAUUUCCCUAUUGUCUUUUAUAUUUUGUUGCGGGCUAUUUUAUCUUUUCUGUUGGGCUCAUUUGGCUAUGGGGUAGAGAUGGUGUCAACAGUUAAGACAAAAAUUGUACCAAGUAUUGGACUGCUUUGAGCCAUACAACACAGAUCCUCCAAAUGGAAGUAGCCAAAGCUGUUGUUUGGUUGCCAGUGCAAUUGAUAGAACUUGCAGCGUAAAACAAAACGACAAUUGAUUGGAGUUGUAUGAAUUGAUUGUGACUUUUAUGGCAUAUAAGCGUUACCCUGAAAUGUGAA